UCCAACCUGCUCCAAUUCCGUUCCACUUCAAAUGGAAGAACGCAGGACGGCAACGUUGCUGCAUCGUGUCGCUGCCAUCGUCGGUUGAAGUCAGCAGCCCGCCAGCGGACGGAGAUGACGGCGGGCGGCGACUUCCGCUUCCCCCCUUUCUGUUCUCUUUCCUUUUUCUCGGGCGCCGUUUCCUCCACAUUCCAUCCUGCGAUUGACGGCGUGCCACGGUUGUUAGGGCUCCCCUGCUUCCUCAGGCUCAGGAUAACGUUAUUUUAUGUUUUCAUUUACCUCCUCAUUCUAUAGGCAUAUUGUUAUGUGAUGCCCGCCGUCGCUGCCGCUUUCGCCGUAUCGCCAACCCCACCGAACCGGUGUCCCCCGCAUAUUCCCUAUCCUGUACUCACCACCACUAGGCGCCCGGUCGAUUCCCCGCCGACCCCCAUAUCGAGGCCUUCCUCUCCUUCCCCCUUCUUCUAUCUCAGUCUCAAAGGCCGCUCCCUCCUCGCCCUCGUCUGCUUCCGCCUGCCUUCCCGUCGCCGCCUUCCCACAGAGAUGGAAAGCAACGGUGUUAUUUCGGGAAAGACACCUGAUUUAGUUCUUUCUUCUUCAUAUGAGGCUGCUAUGAGGGCCCUUUCCUCCCUAAUUAGUGGUCGCAAACGUGGAGAACCACCAAAGAGGGAUAAGAAGUUGGAUUUGAUAUUUAAUUAUUUAAAGAUAAUAGGUGUGGAGAAAAGCUUACCGGAACUUAAGAUUAUCCACAUAGGAGGAACUAAAGGAAAGGGUUCAACAUGCACAUUUUGUGAAGCUAUUUUACGUGAAUGUGGUUUCCGAACGGGACUAUUCACAUCUCCUCAUCUAAUGGAUGUCAGAGAAAGAUUUCGAAUUAAUGGGUUAGAUAUCUCCGAAGAUAAGUUUUUGUAUUACUUUUGGGAUUGUUGGAACCUAUUGAAGGAGAGUGUGGAUGAGGAUUUGCCGAUGCCUCCAUUAUUUCAGUUCCUAACUGUGUUGGCAUUUAAGAUAUUUGUAUCUGAAAAGGUUGAUGUUGCAAUUAUUGAAGUAGGUCUUGGGGGAAGAUUUGACUCAACAAAUGUGGUAAAGGAGCCUGUUGUUUGUGGAAUAACUUCGCUUGGAAUGGAUCACAUGGAGAUUUUAGGAGAUACCAUUGGACAAAUUGCUUCAGCAAAGGCUGGGAUUUUCAAGCCGCAUGUUCCUGCAUUCACAGUACCCCAACUUCCGGAGGCAAUGCUUGCUCUUGAGGAGAGGGCAUCUGAGUUAAUGAUUCCUUUGACAUUUGCUUCCCCACUUGAUCCAUCAGUGAUGAAUGGAUUAACGCUUGGAUUAGCUGGAGAUCACCAGCUCAUAAAUGCUGGUCUUGCUGUUGCUCUUUGCACAAGUUGGCUUCAGAGAACCGGGCAUGCAGAACUCACUCCUAAUGAUAACCCAGAAGAAGGCUUACCAGUAGGAUUUCUCAGAGGCCUUUCCACUGCCAGACUUGGUGGACGAGCUCAAACUAUUAUUGACAAGCCAAAAAUGCUUGAGCAGAUCCCAUAUGGAAAUUCUGGUGAUCUGAUCUUUUACUUGGAUGGUGCUCAUAGUCCAGAAAGCAUGGAGGUUUGUGCUAGGUGGUUCUCCAGUGCUGUAGGAGAAGCCCAGCAGUUUGUAAAGAAUGGAUUUGUGAAAGAACUUGGAUAUUCUAGUUUGUAUGAGAAUAAGCAUUCUAGUGAAUCUAAGAAAGCAUCUAAGAAGAUUCUUUUGUUUAACUGCAUGGAGAAGAGAGACCCUCAACUUCUGCUUCCACCACUUGUCGACAUAUGUGCUUCAAAUGGUGUCCAUUUCUCAAAAGCUCUUUUUGUUCCCAGCAUGUCGGUGUAUCAUAGAGUUGAUUCCGGGUCAUCAAUUGUAGCACCUAAUACUCCUGCAAAUUUGUCAUGGCAGUCCACCCUCCAAAGAACUUGGGAUAAAUUAAUCCAAGAAAAAGAUUUAGUCAAUGAUAAUGGUUCCAAGAUGCAGAAGCUUGGGAAAACUCAUGAAGAUGUCACUGGAGAGCCUCUGGAAAAGUGUGUUCCUGUUCUUAAAGAUCUUUCUCCCAGUGCAGUAGUUCCAUCUUUACCGUUGGCUAUAAGAUGGUUGAGAGACUAUGCAAAGGACAACCCUUCUCUUCAUCUUCAGGUUCUUGUCACAGGAUCAUUGCAUUUGGUGGGUGAUGUCUUGAAGCUUUUGAGAAGAUGAUCUCAACAUUAAGCCUCACACUCAAACAUUCAAGCAAUAUUCUUUUCAUGCAUGCAACAUGAUGGAAAUUGCACUGUUUGAUGGAUUAUAUGGUGGUCUCUUUGAGCCAUCAGAAUCUUUCUAAUUCAAUUAUUUUUGCAAGAUUGAUCGGUUCUGGUUAUCUUGCCAACUGUGUGAAGCAGAUUUAAGUUGUUCAUGGCUCUGGCAAUAAUUCUCAGAAAUGGAGCUAAAGUUAGUCAUAAAACAUGGGGAAUAAUCAUGUUAAACCCAGAAACAGAACUUCAUUUCCAGAAAUCAAGAAUGUACUUCUGUCAGUGGACAAGAUGUUCAAAGAAUCAAGGUACCAGACUUGUGUCGGUCAAUGGCUGGAUUGGUAUAGAUCUGGUCCAUUUUUCCAUGUGGAAUGUCAGAAUAUACUGCAGUGCCAAUGUCUUGUGGAGAGAGAGAGAGAGGAGGUGAAGAAGAAAGAUGCGGAAGGAAGAGCAAGGGAGGAAGAGGAAGGAGUUGGAGAAAAAGGAGAACGAAAAAGAUGGAGAAGUAGCCGAAAAGAGGUUAACAGCCGGCGGCGGACGACAGGUCAUGAGCCCUAAAGGAUCAGAUGAUCGGGGCUUUAUUGAUUUUUUUUAUUCAUUUGAACACGACCGGUUCAUAUUUGAAGAGCAAAAUCGAAAACCUUAGUUUA